ACCAAGCCCUGUUCCAUCAAAAUUUAAAGAACCUGGCUCCAUCCUUGAAGAAGUGCCAGACAGGAAACUUGUUUCAACUUUGGAUUAUAAUUAUCUUCCUAAAGUCUUGACCACGCCAGAACUCCCAGUUACCAAAUAUGUUUUGGAACCUAUUACGUUUAGCAAUGAACUUCCAAUAGUAGAUGCAGAAACCAAGCAUCAUGUUCCGAUCACUAAAACAACAGUCAACCCAUUGCUACUACCAAAAUCUGAGAAAAAUCAUGCCAGACAUAAACCUCAGACCAGCACUGAAGUCCCACAGCCUCGGCAUGGUAAAU